GACGUAGGGCGCGAGCGUUGUCCGGAUUUAUUGGGCGUAAAGAGCUCGUAGGCGGCUUGUCGCGUCGACUGUGAAAACCCGUGGCUCAACCAUGUGGUCUGCAGUCGAUACGGGCAGGCUAGAAUUCGGUAGGGGAGACUGGAAUUCCAGGUGUAGCGGUGAAAUGCGUAGAUAUCUGGAGGAACACCGGUGGCGAAGGCGGCAUCCUGGACCAACACUGACACUGAGGAGCGAAAGCCAGGGGAGCAAACGGG
rnacentral:rRNA from 1 species